AUACGGGGGGUGCAAGCGUUAAUCGGAAUUACUGGGCGUAAAGCGCGCGUAGGCGGUUUGCUCAGUCGGAUGUGAAAGCCCAGGGCUCAACCUUGGAACUGCAUACGAUACUGGUAAACUAGAGUGUGAGAGAGGAUAGUGGAAUUUCCGGUGUAGCGGUGAAAUGCGUAGAUAUCGGAAGGAACAUCAGUGGCGAAGGCGACUGUCUGGCUCAACACUGACGCUGAGGUGCGAAAGCGUGGGUAGCAAACAGGAUUAGAUACCCUAGUAGUCC
rnacentral:rRNA from 1 species